ACAUGACCAGUGUAUGCAUCCAUCUCCAUCCAAGAUUCUUGAACUCAGGUGGGGUUAUCGAUUUCUUUUCACAGGGCUACUGGUUAAAGCAGAAUUGACAUGUUUUCACCACUCCCUUUCAGGUCACCAGAGGGUGCAGAUAGGAGAUGGUAACACGCAUUUUCCAUCCCACCCAGAUGGCCCAGCAAAGGCUUGCCAUGAGACUUCAGUUUUGGAUAAGUUCUGGGAGUUGAGGGUCAGGAACUCGACGUGUAUUUUUAUUACCAUGCAUUGAAAUCCUGCCCACGUGAACAUGACAAACCCUGCCACACUGGGGUUUAUUCUGAGUAUCACUAGAGGUCCCUAGGUGCACCACCAUUCCUGCAAGCUCAGGCAGGAAUGGCUCUCAGAGCCAAAGCUCUGUAUGAUUGCUUCUUCCCAUGCCCCAGGACAAUGUGAGAAAUUGCUUUCUGCAUACUGUACAUGUGUCACAGCUAGUAUCUCUUGAGCCCUGGUGCUAGGAGCUGUAGACUGAGGUUUAUUGGCUUUGCCUGAACUGCCAACACCAGAACAAGGUCCAAGGCGAACUUCAAAAUGUUUUCAGCCAUAAGAUUAGUUGGGGUCUUCUUGUCUGUUGUUAACUAAUAUUACAAGUGCCAGUUAGUAUUACAGCUAUUUUGCAGAUGAGAAAUCAUCGGGAGAGAGAUUAAGUGACAAAACAUAUGUACUUGAAGAGACUCGUGGCCUCAACUAGAACUCAGCUCUUAUGUCUUGUAGGACAGUCAUGUCACCAUUAGAACAUGUAAUCUAACCUUCUUGGAAAAAAAUGAAAUGUGAGCCUCCCUUUGAACCAGCUUGACUUUGAGCUCCCUCAUGAAACACCAACGACCUUUGAAAGAACACGGGGAUGGCACCAUAGACAGAUUUUCCCUCAGCUGACUGCAAAUAAAGUUAUUUGAAAUAACUGCCAAAGCUGUAAUUUACCAGGCUUUUUCACGGAUUCCACAAAAGCAAGGAAAUUCAAAGUUGAAAGGCUUUCUCCAGGCAGAACACGCCAGGCAUUUGUGCAUGAAUUGCAGGAGGAGACACGAUAUGUUUCUUUCAGAGCUGUUGUUGCCAUCAUGGAAAGCGAACAAGCAUCUGUGCUUCGGAAAUCAGUGGAUGGAAGGUGUUCCGUGAAAGGCAGCAUGUGGGAAAGCAGCUUAAAAUGGUUCACUUUCAUAUAUUGAGCUUUGGUUCCCAGACCGGCACUACUGUCCACCUGGUAGCAAGGCAGUGAGUCGGCACAGAGGGACUCUCCCAAAUCACAUCAUAUUCUGUGAUCUUAAGGGAUACUGAGAUGAAAAAAAAUCCAUAGAAAAUCUACAGAUUUGUGGGGUAUGGAGUUUAGCAACGGGCAUGUAGAUUACUCAGCUCCAAAUCGUUGCUGUUUUGAGAGCCUCUGUCCAAAUUCCCCUGAGUGGGAUUCCGCCUGUCAGAGGAGAUGGCCUAAGAGACUGUCUUACAAUUGAAAUUGGGUUGGGAGGUGAAAAAACAGUGACUCUGCGAAGGAGGGGUGUGAUCAGCUGCGCACAUGUCUGCCCCUGCUCAUACUCAGCUUGCUGAAAUGCAACGACUUCAAUUGAUUUUGCUAUUUUUGCAGCGCUGACUGAUGAGCCAGUGAAGAGGGAACUGUGUUCUGUGAGAGAGCGGCACGGGAGGGGCAUGUCCCAUGGCCUGUGUUGCACUGCUCAGAGCUACCCGGAGCUUUGGCUUCUCCUCUGAGCUGUGCACCGACGAGCUACUGUAUCACUGUGCUUGCUGUGCAAAGGAUAACACACCCCUACUCUGUCAAAGGAUCCCCAUGUAUCACAUCCACAUUUAUUUGUUUAAAAAAAAAAAAGUUAUGUGUUUGUUAUUUAUUAACCAGCAACGUAUCAUGUUCUGAUGUUGACUACCUCUCCAGGCAUAUUUAGGCUUAAAAACUAAUACCUUUUAGUGUCAAAUUCUGUGCAAGGGACAUGACUCCUACUGAAACCAACUGAUGCUAAAUAAUGGUGUUUUUUCAGCAUCUAACUAUGGGAUCAAUAAGGCCUUCAUCCUUGUCGGUAGUCUGUCAGCUGGUAGGAAGACAGGCAGCCUUGUAGACAAGACACAGACAUGGAGGUCAAGAGAAGUGGAUUCUUUUCUCAGUUUGCCUUAGGGCUUUUGCAAAGCCUUGGACAAAUCACACAACCUCUCCCAUUAAACCUCCUGACUUCCAAAAUGGAAAUGAUCAUAACUGUCUGCUUCCCAAGGAUGCUAUGGAGUAAAUCAAUUCACAGAGAGAGGGGGAGGGAGGGGAAGGAGGUGUAUGGGAUCAGCAACUACCUGGAUGCUUUGGAAAGAACAGACAUACUUCUGUUAGUUUUCAUUUUUGUAAACAGCCUUAGAGUGCACCUAAGUAUUAACAUAUUAAAAAAUUAAGCAACAGCUAGGGGAUUUGGUUACAUAGGCAGGGUAUAGUUAAUAUAAUAUAAUAACAUUGCUAGUCUCAUUCUCCUAUGGACAUCAUUUAUUUUGGAUAAGGCCAGGGUUACUACAAAAGAUUGAAAGAUCAAAUAUUCCCAAUGAAAUGAGAGUGCUUUGCAAUUGUUUUAGUUUAGAUGGUAGUCAGAAAAAUAUUUCCACAUUUCAUUUGCUAGAAAAGCUAUCUAGAGCUGGCAUUAGUAGUGGCUUUGAUGUAUUCUCUGAUACAUGGGUCCAGAGCAUGCUGAUGUAAACAGAAGUGGUUUUGACCUGUUAUCUUUGUUCUUUAACCUUGAUAUUUGCCCCCUUCAAUGGCUUCUUUCUCCUCCUGGGGAGGCUUUAAAAAGUCAAUUGAUAGAGGAAAAAAAGAGUUUCAGUUUUUGCUCUGUGUUAAGACCCUAAAGAAAUAGACACAUCUAUUGUACAGUCACUGAAGCUCUUGAAAUAGUGUGGGUUUUUCUCUUGAAUCCUGCAGGGAAAUGAGCAAAGAAGGAAAGGGGAAAAAAAAAAAAAAAAGCAUUCAGUUUUGUCCACAACUACAGUAAGUACAUCAUACUUUUGAUACUUUUGCUCCUGAUGGGUUUUUUUUGAGAGAAAAACUGAGAAACUCAGCUUCAGAAACAGGCAGUGGAAACAGUAAUGCCUAUGGGUAAGUUGGUCCAGCAUUGUCCAUUAUACAACCUUACUUUUGAUGCCUGUACCUGUCAAAUAUUAGCUAAUUUGUAAUGACUCUUUUUCUGUGAUUGGUGUGUCAGCCUGAAGCUAAUUCUUAAAAUAGUUCAGUCAGUUUGCAAAAUGAGGUUGGCAAAAAAAUACAUUUUGCUUCCCUUAAAAAAAUAUUGUUGGGUUGCAUGACUGAGAAACUCUCCAUGUUCUAUACCUGCAGUUUGGCAAAGGAUUUGCCAAGGAUUUGAUGGGCCCCACCCAUAAACAUGUACGAUAAGAAGAGCCCAUUAUUAGGAUGCAGGUUGUGCAGACAAGAGGAUGAGUGGAACUUAAUAAAGAGCCUGUGAUAAGAAUGAAAGAGUAGUAGCCUGUAGGGAUGGUGUGUGGGACUGAGGCAGAGAUGUGAGGAUGCUGGGAGAAAGAAACCAUGAGCAAGGACCAGGACUUAAAAAUGAACUCCUGAAGUAAGACUCUUAGGUUGUUAAGAAAGGGAAAAGGAUGGAGUGAUUGGGCUGAGAGUGAGAGACAGAAAGUCCCUGGGUA